AACGAACGCUGGCGGCAUGCCUAACACAUGCAAGUCGAACGAGACCUUCGGGUCUAGUGGCGCACGGGUGCGUAACGCGUGGGAACCUGCCCUUAGGUUCGGAAUAACUCCCCGAAAGGGGUGCUAAUACCGGAUAAUGUCUUCGGACCAAAGAUUUAUCGCCUUUGGAUGGGCCCGCGUUGGAUUAGCUAGUUGGUAGGGUAAAAGCCUACCAAGGCGACGAUCCAUAGCUGGUCUGAGAGGAUGAUCAGCCACACUGGGACUGAGACACGGCCCAGACUCCGACGGGAGGCAGCAGUGGGGACUAUUGGACAAUGGGCGAAAGCCUGAUCCAGCAGUGCCGCGUGAGUGAUGAAGGCCUUAGGGUUGUAAAGCUCUUUUACCCGGGAUGAUAAUGACAGUACCGGGAGAAUAAGCUCCGGCUAACUCCGU
rnacentral:rRNA from 1 species